rnacentral:lncRNA from 1 species
UUUUUUAUGCAUUAAUUUAUUCCAUGUAGAAGGAUAAAGGUGAAUCUCUGAAUCAUUUAGGUAUAUAUUUGUCUCUCGAUCUAUGGAAAAGCCUUAAGCGUGAAUUAACUAAGGGAGUAUUUAUUUUAAUUAUUAUAUUACUUUGCAGUACAAAGUAAAUUUCUUUUACACAUAGAAAGGAGCCUUACAUAGUUCAUCCAAACUAUCAGUUUGAAUGGAAUGAAGGCGUUUUAAUUAACAAAUAUAAGUACCAAAAGACACUGAUAAAAGGCACAAUGCCAUCUCCCUCGAGCAUAACCACCACGGCCACAGCUCAGCAACUAACACCGUAGCAAAAACCCACCAGACAACCACAGCUGCCGCAGCAGCCGUGUGGAUCAAAACCGCACCACGUUCCGGCAGAUUUGCAGCCUAGACCGCCGUCCGGGAGGUAUCCCUGCGGCAGGAAGAUCUUUGACCGGAGCGUUUUCCUGUUAGAACUUACCCAACUGACAGUGUCAACGGCAACUGAAUCUCCAUUACCGCCAUUAGAGCGACUGACGGACUCCACAGCAAUUAAACCGUCAGAGCUACCAGCCUCAUCAACUGCCAGACCCAAGGGUGCGAAGGUCGAUAUCAGAACCACCACCAUUGCCACCACCACCAGAGCAACCUUCUUGUUCUCCAUUUCCGUUAGUUAUGAGUACUUUUUACUGUAUAUUAGAUUAUCCUCUAAGCAAUCCUUUUUAUAGUGAACGAGCUGCGAUGAUUACAAUGUACAUGUUUUUCCGUGUCUUUUUUUUUUCUACCUUUGUUUGUACUUUUGCCAGAUAUGAGUACUUCUUCUUACCUACUGUAAAAUAACUUUUUGUAGACCAUGCUUU